rnacentral:tRNA from 1 species
GGGCCUCUAGCUCAAUUGGCAGAGCAGCGGACUUUUAAUCCGUUGGUUGUGGGUUCGAGUCCCACGGGGCCCA